rnacentral:rRNA from 1 species
AGAAUGAACGCUGGCGGCAUGGCUAAGACAUGCAAGUCGAACGGACUUUAUGAUUGGGUAACCUUGAAUAAAGUUAGUGGCGAAAGGGUGAGGAAUAGAUAGGAACGUGCCUUUGGCUUCGGAAUAGCGUCCCGAAAGGGGCGGUAAUACCGGAUAACGUCUACGGACCAAAGAUUUAUCGGCCUUAGAGCGGCCUAUCACCUAUCAGCUUGUUGGUGGGGUAAUGGCCUACCAAGGCAACGACGGGUAGCGGGACUGAGAGGUUGGCCCGCCACAUCGGGACUGAGACACUGCCCGGACCUCCACGGAGGGCUGCAGUAACGAAUAUUGGGCAAUGGGCGAAAGCCUGACCCAGCAAUGCCGCGUGUAGGAUGAAGCCCCUCGGGGUGUAAACUACUGUCAGGGGUUAGAAAGCUACGGUUGAUCAACCCCAGAGGAAGUCACGGCUAACUUCGUGCCAGCAGCCGCGGUAAUACGAAGGUGGCGAGCGUUAUUCGGAAUUACUGGGCUUAAAGCGCACGCAGGCGGAAUAUUUAGCGUCUUGUGAAAUCCCCCGGCUUAACCGGGGAAUUGCAGGGCGAACUGGUAUUCUUGAGGCAAGUAGGGGUGCAUGGAACUCUUGGUGGAGCGGUGGAAUGCGUAGAUAUCAAGAGGAACGCCGAUGGUGAAGACAGUGCACUGGGCUUGUCCUGACGCUGAGGUGCGAAAGCGUGGGGAGCGAACGGGAUUAGAUACCCCGGUAGUCCACGCCGUAAACGAUGCCUACUAGGUCGUGGUUGUCCUGACACACUCACGGCCGAAGCAAAAGUGUUUAGUAGGCCGCCUGGGGAGUACGGUCGCCAAGGCUAAAACUCAAAGGAAUUGACGGGGGCUCACACAAGCGGUGGAGCAUGUGGAUUAAUUCGAAGCAACGCGCAGAACCUUACCUGGGUUUGACAUGUAUGGAUGCCUGCUGUGAAAACAGUUAGGUUGCCUUCGGGUGAAACUUACACAGGUGCUGCAUGGCUGUCGUCAGCUCGUGUCGUGAGAUGUCGGGUUAAGUCCUUUAACGAGCGAAACCCUUGCCGUUAGUUGCCAGCGGGUCAUGCCGGGGACUCUAACGGGACUGCCGGUGUCAAACCGGAGGAAGGUGGGGAUGACGUCAAGUCCUCAUGGCCUUUAUGCCCAGGGCCUCACACGUGCUACAAUGGGUGCUACAGAGCGACGCGAGACCGCGAGGUGGAGCUAAUCGCAAAAAAGCAUCCUCAGUUCGGAUUGCAGGCUGGCAAUUCGCCUGCAUGAAGUUGGAAUCGCUAGUAAUCGCGUAUCAGCUAUGACGCGGUGAAUGUGUUCCUGAGCCUUGUACACACCGCCCGUCAAGUGAUGGAAG